ACAAAAGCCAACUGCAAAAUGGCUCAGCUGAUACAGGCCGAGACACAUUCCGUGAAAAAGACGCAGGUCAGCAGAGAAGGGGACACGAGAGAGGCAGAUGGCAAGAAAUAGGACAAGUUGAAAAUGAAGGGCAGUCAAACGGGAGAAGUAGGGGCGGAAGAGGAGGGACAGGACAGGGUAGAGUAAUAGGAAGGUUCGGAAGGGGAAACAAUCAUGAGUAUGCCUGGGUACGAAAGGACAGAACAUAAUUGAAUUGCCUACGGCUUAAAUUCAAAUACUAAGGCAGUAUGUAGCCAGAUUUCAAGAGAUGGAAUUGCAUACAAAAAGAGAGAUCAAAGAAGUUCAUAUUUUAUACAAUCUCUUCAGCAUUCUUGUUUUACAGUUGAUAAUGUUUUUCGUAUCUUAGAUUCUUGAAAUUUUUGUAAUAUUAUAAUAGUAUGAAAAAUGCUAUUCAAAUCAACUUGUUGUACCGUCUUAAGUCACAUAUUUUUAUUUGCUUA